GCAAGCCCUAGUGAAUGAAGCAGUGGACGAAGUCAAAGUCAAAGCUGUCAAUGAAAUGAUGGAGAGAAUCAAACACGGCGUGGUUCUCAGGCCUGUGAAGAGUCAGGACACUAAGAGAUUUGGCACAAAGGUAUGUUCAAA